CUUCUUUGGGCCAGUAUGAACAGAGCUGCUGGAAAAUUUCCAGUUUACCUGGGACAGGUCCAGGCUUAUCUGGAUCACCCCCAAGACUGGAUCUUCGGAUUUCCUCUCCACUUUGGGAGCUUUCUUACAGGUGACCAGGAGACCUCUUAAACAUAAGUGACAUAAGGAUCCUGGUCUCCUUCCAUCGUUAACUUUGAGGCAACAUCUUACUAAGUUACCCAUGCUGACCUUGAAUGCACUCUGGAGACCAAGCAGGCCUUGGACUCAAGGACUGCUGCUUCUUCUGAAACACACGUGGAGGUGAGGUGUAGCCAUAACUCUAACUGCGAAGCUGUGGACUGUUUCCCAUCCCAACCUCGAUCAACUUUUCCUCAUAAUCUCUUGUCCCAGAGU
rnacentral:lncRNA from 1 species